rnacentral:lncRNA from 1 species
ACUCUAUUAUGAAAUUAUUGCUUCUAAUCUAACUUCUCUCCGGUCUAUUCUAUAGAUGGUUCGUGCCAACAAGACCGCUCGUAUCUCCACUGGAGGGUACCACCCACAUCGUUACCAAUAUGAGCCUAUGGAGCCACAAGAGGAGAGUUCACCGGAACAUGAAGAAACCCCACCACCUUCAGAUCAAGUAUCUGAGCCAGAGCUAUCGCAAGUAGAGUCUGAACCAGAGGAGGAGCCCCAGGAGGUAACACUAAUUUCUGAUGAUGAAGAAGAAGGUGCUCCCGGAGGAGGUCAACCCCCAUCACCGCCGCA